GAGAUGCUGAGGAUGGGAAACGACAAUGUCCAGGAGGCGGAUUAAAGAUAUGCCACCAGCUGCGACAUCGAUCCGAGGGACCACUUCGACCGGUACACGACACCUGGACAAUUUCAAGAGGAUAUCGAGAAACCACCCGGGAAUUUAACGUCGUGGGCGCGGAUGCCGAUGUCGCGCGUCGCGUCCUUCCCUCGCUAAGAAUAAGGCUGAGUUGGCGACUAAGCGACUUCGAUUCCAGUGACGUCACAAGCGGCCAUUAAUCAUGCAUCUUGCGUGGAAGCUCCUUCGCACCUACGCAAAGCUCCGUGCAGUCGCUCGAAGUACACACUAGCUAUAAAUAAUUAUUGAUUCCCAUCAGCUGUCGGGGCGCGUAUCGCCGGCCGAGACCGACUGCAUACGUGCUGCAUUAAUUUCCCAUUCGCAGUUAAUGCACUCGUUAAGAAGCGGGCCUUUAACUAGUCGGACGACCCGUUCGCGGGACUCGUCGGUUUCCACGAGAGAUCUCCGACGGAUCUCUUCUUGGCAGCGAUUUAGAAUUAAA